rnacentral:rRNA from 1 species
UAAACUAGGAUUAGAUACCCUAUUAUAAAGAAUUUAGGUUUGUUAUCAGAGUAGUAAUAGUUAAGAUCUUGAAACUCAAAAAAUUUGGCGGUAUUUUAGUCUAUUUAGAGGAACCUGUAAUGUAAUCGAUAAUCCACGUUGAAUCUAACUUAAUUUUGUAAAUUUUCAAUUUGUAUACCGCCGUUUUUGAAAAUUUUAUAAGAAUAAUAAUUUUCAGAAGUUUUUAUAAAAACAUAAGUCAGGUCAAGGUGCAGUUUAUAAUUAAGGUUUAUAUGGGUUACAAUAAAUUUAUUUAUGCGGAAUAUGGAAUGAAAUUUUCAUAUAAAGAUGGAUUUAAUAGUAAAUUUUUGUAGAUAGUAAUUUUGAUUAUAGCUCUAGAAUAUGCACACAUCG